CGCGGCCUAUCAGCUUGUUGGAGAGGUAACGGCACACCAAGGCAUCGACGGGUAGCUGGUCUGAGAGGAUGAUCAGCCACACUGGAACUGAGACACGGUCCAGACUCCUACGGGAGGCAGCAGUGGGGAAUCUUGCACAAUGGGCGCAAGCCUGAUGCAGCGAUGCCGCGUGCGGGAAGAAGGCCCUAGGGUUGUAAACCGCUUUCAGGAGGGAAGAAAAUGACGGUACCUCCAGAAGAAGGUGCGGCCAACUACGUGCCAGCAGCCGCGGUGACACGUAGGCACCAAGCGUUAUCCGAAUUUAUUGGGCGUAAAGAGCUCGUAGGCGGUUUGGUAAGUCGGGUGUGAAAACUCUGGGCUCAACCCAGGGAGGCCACCCGAUACUGCUAUGACUAGAGUACGGUAGGGGAGCGGGGAAUUCCUGGUGUAGCGGUGAAAUGCGCAGAUAUCAGGAGGAACACCAGCGGCGAAGGCGCCGCUCUGGGCCGUAACUGACGCUGAGGAGCGAAAGCAUGGGUAGCAAACAGGAUUAGAUACCCUGGUAGUCCAUGCCGUAAACGUUGGGCACUAGGUGUGGGUCUCAACCAACGAGAUCCGCGCCGUCGCUAUCGCAUUAAGUGCCCCGCCUGGGGAGUACGG
rnacentral:rRNA from 1 species